rnacentral:lncRNA from 1 species
GCAUCCCAUUUCCUUUGCAUCCCACUUCUUUUGCAUCCCUCUUGCCUUUCCAUCCCACUUUGCUUUGCAUUCUGCUUUCCUUUGCAUUCUGCUUCCUUUGCAUCCCACCUCCUUUGCAUCCUUCUUGCCUUUGCAUCCCUCUUGACCCACUUCCUUUGCAGCCCGCUUUCCUUUGCAUCCCACUUCCUUUGCAGCCCGCUUUCCUUUGCAUCCCACUUCCUUUGCAGCCCGCUUUCCUUUGCAUCCCACUUCCUUUGCAGCCCGCUUUCCUUUGCAUCCUGCUUUCCUUUGCAUCCCGCUUCCUUUGCAUCCCUCUUGCCUUUGCAUCCCUCUUGUCUUUACUUCCCAUUUCCUUUGCAUCCCACUUCCUUUGCGUACCUCUCCCUUGCAUCCCGCUUUGCUUUGCAUCCCACUUCCUUUGCAUCCUUCUUUCCUUUCCAUCCCGCUUUGCUUUGCAUUCUGCUUUCCUUUGCAUCCCACUCACUUUACAUCCCUCUUUCUCUUGCAUCCCACUCCCUUUGCAUCUCCCUUCCCUUUGCAUCCUGCUCCCUUUGUAUCCCCCUUCCCUUUGCAUCCCACUUUCUUUUGCAUCCUGCUCACUUUGCAUCCCUCUUUCUCUUGCAUCCUGCUUCCCUGUGCAUCCCACUCCCUUUGCAUCCCCCUUCCCUUUGCAUCCCACUUUCCUUUGCAUCCCACUUCCUUUGCAUCCUCUUCCCUUUGCAUCCUCUUCCCCUUGCAUCCUGCUUUGCUUUGCAUCCCCCUUUCCCUUGCAUCCCUCUUUCCUUUGCAUCCCACUCUUUUGCAUCCCUCUUUCUCUUGCAUCCUCCUCUCCUUUGCAUCCUCUUCCCUUUGUAUCCUCUUCCCUUUGCAUCCUCUUCCCUUUGCAUCCUCUUCCCUUUGCAUCCCACUGUCCUUUGCAUCCCGCUUCCCUUUGCAUCCUGCUUCCCUUUGCAUCCUCUUUCCUUUGCAUCCUGCUUUGCUUUACAUCCUCUUCCCUUUGCAUCCUCUUUUCUUUGCAUCCCGCUCUUUUGCACCCCUCUUUCCUUUGCCUCCCCCUUUCCUUUGCAUCCCUCUUUCCUUUGCAUCCCUCUUCCCUUUGCAUCCCUCUUCCCUUUGCAUCCUCUUUCCUUUGCCUCCCCCUUUACUCUGCAUCCCUCUUUGCUUUGCAUCCCAACAUUGGGGGGGGCACGUGUACAUUUUUUCGGACGGGGCCCCUUUUUUGCACCGGUGUCUUCCUCCCCCCUCCAGAUGCUGCCUUUUCCUCGGACCACUGCAUUUCCUUUGCACAGCGCAAUAUUUCCGCGCUGGCGCAUUUGUUUUGCAUGGUGCAUGUGUUUUGCCCGGUGCAUUCUCUUUGCACUAUGCGUUCGUUUUGCAUAGUGCAUUGCCUUUGCAUGCAUGUGUUUUGCUCGGUGCAUUUUCUUUGCGUGGCGCGUUUGCUUUGCCCGGUGCAUUUUCUUUGCAUGGUGCAUGUGUUUUGCACGGUGCAUUUGCUUUGCAUGGUGCAUUUGCUUUGCCCGGUGCAUUGUCUUUGCACUAUGCAUUUGUUUUGCAUGCUGCAUUGUCUUUGCAUGGUGCAUUUAUUUUGCCCGGUGCAUUGUCUUUGCACUAUGCAUUCGUUUUGCAUGCUGCAUUGUCUUUGCAUGGUGCAUUUAUUUUGCCCGGUGCAUUGUCUUUGCACUAUGCAUUUGUUUUGCAUGGUGCAUGUGUUUUGCAUUGUGCAUGUGUUUUGCAUGGUGCAUUUGCUUCACCCGGUGCAUUGUCUUUGCAUGGUGCAUUGGUUUUGCCCAACGCAUUUUCUUUGCCCGGUGCAUUUUCUUUGCAUGUAGCAUUUGUUUUGCCUGGUGCAUUUCCCUCGCACGGUGCAUUUGCUUUGCAUGGUGCAUUUUCUUUGCACUAUGCAUUCGUUUUGCAUGCUGCAUUGUCUUUGCAUGGUGCAUUUGUUUUGUCCAGUGCAUUUGUUUGUUUUGCCCGGUACAUUUUCCUUGCACGGUGCAUAUGUUUUGCCCCGUGCAUUGUCUUUGCGCUAUGCAUUCGUUUUGCCCCGUGCAUUGUCUGUACAUGGUGCAUGUGUUUUACCCAGUGCAUUUUCUUUGCAUGGUGCAUCGUCUUUGCACUAUGCAUUCGUUUUGCAUGCUGCAUUGUCUUUGCAUGGUGCAUGUGUUUUGCAUGGUGCAUUUGCUUUGCAUGGUGCAUUUGCUUCACCCGGUGCAUUGUCUUUGCGCUAUGCAUUCGUUUUGCCCCGUGCAUUGUCUGUACAUGGUGCAUGUGUUUUGCCAAACGCAUUUUCUUUGCAUGUAGCAUUUGUUUUGCGCGGUGCAUUUUCUUUGCAUGGUGCAUUUUCUUUGCAUGGUGCAUCAUCUUUGCACUAUGCAUUCCAUUUGCAUGCUGCAUUGUCUUUGCACGGUGCAUGUGUUUUGCCCAGUGCAUUUUCUUUGCACUAUGCAUUCGUUUUGCAUGCUGCAUUGUCUUUGCAUGGUGCAUGUGUUUUGCAUUGUGCAUGUGUUUUGCAUGGUGCAUUUGCUUCACCCGGUGCAUUGUCUUUGCGCUAUGCAUUCGUUUUGCCCCGUGCAUUGUCUGUACAUGGUGCAUGUGUUUUACCCAGUGCAUUUUCUUUGCAUGGUGCAUCGUCUUUGCACUAUGCAUUCCUUUUGCAUGCUGCAUUGUCUUUGCACGGUGCAUGUGUUUUGCCCAGUGCAUUUUCUUUGCACUAUGCAUUCGUUUUGCAUGCUGCAUUGUCUUUGCAUGG